CCUCUCGUGGCGUAGGAGUAACGCGACCUAUCUAGAGAACAGGUAAUCGUGACUUCAAUUCCCACCGAGAAGA
rnacentral:tRNA from 1 species